rnacentral:tRNA from 1 species
AAGAUAAAGCUAAAACUCUAGCGUUUCACUUACGUUGAAAAGGUUUGUUGGUAGUCAACUUAUUUUGGU